rnacentral:rRNA from 1 species
CAGUCGCCGCGGUAAUACGUAGGUCCCGAGCGUUGUCCGGAUUUAUUGGGCGUAAAGGGAGCGCAGGCGGUUUAGUAAGUCUGAAGUUAAAGGCAUUGGCUCAACCAAUGUAUGCUUUGGAAACUGUUAGACUUGAGUGCAGAAGGGGAGAGUGGAAUUCCAUGUGUAGCGGUGAAAUGCGUAGGUAUAUGGAGGAACACCGGUGGCGAAAGCGGCUCUCUGGUCUGUCACUGACGCUGAGGCUCGGAAGCGUGGGUAGCGAACAGGAUUAGAUACCCGAGUAGUCCCUGUCUCUUAUACA